UCCUGUUAUGCAAUAAUAUGAGGGGAUAUGACAUGAUAAGAGAGAACCUUCCAGAUCCCAUCUCAAAUGGCUCUUUUCAUCCAAUAAUAAAUGAGUUUCCUGUAAUUGGGAGUUUGCUUCAACAACUUCUCCUGACAGUUGAUAAGGUCGAUAGCAGCAGAACAGCUUGUGAACGCUUGAUCAGUGAUGGAUCAUACAUAGAGAACUCCAUUUGAGGAUUCUUUCUCUGUGACCAUGAAUACAAGAACUAGGCCCUUCAAUUUUAUUGCUGUGAUGGAUAGAAGACCAGCUAGUGUAAAUAAAAAUUGUAUAUUUGAUGGUAAAAAACCAUUGUAUAUUGGAACUACAAUGGAUGGAAAAUUGACUGGAGCAGUUUGUAAAUGUGAAAAUGGUAUGUAACUGUAGUUUUCUGAUUCAAAAUUCUGUCCCUCUGUUGCUUCUUGGUUUGUUAUAGAUCCUAUUUCAAAAUGUUCUAUGCAGU